UCUCUGCUGGUAUUUUGGCCGAUAAUACGAGAUCAUAUAAAGCUUCGGGUCUUUGCGAUUCUUGGAAGUCUGUUCAUAAAGAUAUUGAAUGCAAUAAUCUUGUUGUCGCCGUGGUAUUUGCCUUUACUGCAUUUAUCCUGUAGAUUGGUGGAUUCAUCAUUUCACUUUUGGCUGAGUGUCGUUGCGACUGAUUCGGGCAAUGAACUUGAAACGUCCGAGAUGGAGCUAUGAAGAAUGGAAAGGAGUGAUUAUCUUCUUGGUGUAAGAUUGAAAUGGAUUAAAAUAAUUGAGUUAUGGAAGCACCAUCUUAUCUACCAUUUGUAAAACAUCAUAGCUUGUCAAGUGUAUAGAAAAACAGAAUGUAUGUUAAACGUAUCAAAAUGCGCAUAUGAAAGCCAGAAAAAUGGUUUGUGAAAAAGUUAAGAAUCUUUACGACUUGAAUGCUAGUAUUUAAUAUGAAGAAUUGUGGGCGUUUAGUGCCUCGAGUUGCUAUUUUUAUGACUUUUAAUGUGGAUCCUAUCUUUAAGCUGUGCAAGCUUGCUUACAUGAUAGCCAUUUUUUCGAUUCCGAAUGCAUCAUUGCAUUUGCGCCUUUUCCCUGCAUUUAACAAAAAUAAACGUUCAAUAACACGGUGCAA